CAAUGUUUAGAAAGAUACUGAGUAUCGUGAAGAGUAUUUAAAAAUAUUCAGAGGAGUGGGUGCUCGCACUGGGGAGACAACAGAGGGACCAGACUACAAUAUCCAGGGUAAUUUUUUACCGCCCUUUUUGUGAAUUCCGAGAGCAAUGAAUUCACCUGCUACUACGUCAUUUAACUUUUACAUCACUCUCUCAAAAGUUGCUCUUAAUUAUAAUGUGAAAAUGCUUAUUUUUGAAUGAAAAAAUUAUAUGACUGAUCCCAUUAGGAGCUUUGCCAGGCCAAAGAGAACCUGUUAGGAAUAAAAGCAAACUAAUUCUUUAAAUCCCAGUUGGUGGGGGAAAACCAAUUUUUAAGCAGCCUGAAUGCGCAACUGAUAAGAACACAGAUCUGCUUCUCGUCAGCAGGUAAUCAGCGGUACUUACAUCCUAGAUCUCCGCAGUGCAAAUUUAGUGCUGAGGCCUCUCGGUUUCGAUGCACUACGUUAAUUUAAAUGUUCAAGGCCAAAAGAUAUACAAGUAUGAAGCUUUGAAUAGUCUCUGCCACCUAGCCAGGUGGAGGAGAGUCAUUAAUCUAAGAUAUGUUAUAUCAUCUCAAUCAUCUCAAUCAAUGAAACACUUGCAAGACACAUUUGGUUAUGCAAGCAUCAUCUGUUAGCUAAAUUUUUGACCCCAUUGAUGAAAUGAAGGACUACUAAUAACCAGCCUAAUUCCAACUUCCAUAAUCAAUUGUUUCUUUUUGUAAGCUAAGUAAUAAUUGUUUUAAUCAUUAAACAGCAAAACAGGUGAAUACUGCUGGUGGAUCAAGUGAGAGAGACGCCAUCUUGCAAUUAGCGAGUACAAGUCAGAGUACAGCCCCAGAAGCAGCAGUUGGUUUGCCUGCAAGAGCUACUAGCCAAAGGAUAAUAAGGGAGGCUUAAAGCAAGUCACUUACUCUUCCUGGCAAUGUUGAAUCGCAAGAGUCUCCGUCAUGUGGUCCAAAAUAAAUUGUACUCCAACUGAAAGAAAUCCUUCGAUUGGACCAAACGAAUUUGGAGCAACCCACCCCAGAACCAACGAAAAUGAUGUGUACAUGAGUUUGUGUCUACAUGCUUUUUUAAUCUUACUUUAAUGUCAAUACGUAAUUAAGAGUUUGUUUUUACCUUCAAGUUACAUAGGAAAGGUUCCCAGGCAAUGGAACGAAGAAUAUGAAUGGAAUGAAUUGUUUUCUGAAGACAAUUUAUUAAUCACGAUUUUCUAGAAGAAUUUUGUCUUUCUGUUUUUAACUUGCAAAAAAAAAAACAAAAACGUCCAACGUUCUUUUUAAUCAAUCCUUAGUUGGCGAUAUUGAGCUUUUGAGUAACUUGCCCUGGAGCUACAAUACAUAUAGUUCACCUCUUUAUUUCGUUCAACAAAGUUACUUCUCAUAGUUAUACAGACUUUAGAGGUCCCGAAUUCGUGCAACUAGACCAGCUAUUCAGAAAAAGUCUGUGGUUUGGCAUAAACAUCUCAAGUUUUAAGGGAAAGACCUGGGGCCCCUUCCUCGAAAGUCCCGAAACUUUUCGGGCGCAUUUCGGGGAACAUAAUUCUCUUUGUGUGUUCAAAACGAAAGCGUCUCGGGGCGCGAAAUUUUGCAGUUAUUUAAUUUUUAUUCCCUUUACAAAAGAAAAAGACCAGCUUUACUG